rnacentral:misc_RNA from 1 species
UCCGAGUUAUCCCCGGCAGUCUCCCAUGAGUCCCCGGCCGAACCGCUGGCAACAUAGGAUAAGGGUUGCGCUCGUUGCGGGACUUAACCCAACAUCUCACGACACGAGCUGACGACAGCCAUGCACCACCUGUCACGGGCCCUAAUGGACACCGCAUUUCUACGGCUUUUCCCAUGAUGUCAAGCCCAGGUAAGGUUCUUCGGGUUGCAUCGAAUUAAGCCGCAUGCCCCGCCGCUUGUGCGGGGACCCGUCAAUUCCUUUGAGUUUUAGCCUUGCGGCCGUACUCCCCAGGCGGUCUACUUAGUGCGUUAACUGCGCCACUAAGAGCUCAAGGCUCCCAACGGCUAGUAGACAUCGUUUACGGCGUGGACUAC